CUCCUUUGACGUUAGCGGCGGACGGGUGAGUAACACGUGGGUAACCUACCUAUAAGACUGGGAUAACUUCGGGAAACCGGAGCUAAUACCGGAUAAUAUUUCGAACCGCAUGGUUCGAUAGUGAAAGGUGGUUUUGCUAUCACUUAUAGAUGGACCCGCGCCGUAUUAGCCAGUUGGUAAGGUAACGGCUUACCAAGGCGACGAUACGUAGCCGACCUGAGAGGGUGAUCGGCCACACUGGAACUGAGACACGGUCCAGACUCCUACGGGAGGCAGCAGAA
rnacentral:rRNA from 1 species